rnacentral:tRNA from 1 species
UGGGGAGUAGCCAAGUGGUAAGGCAGUGGGUUCUGGUCCCACCAUGCGAAGGUUCGAACCCUUCCUCCCCAGCCA